GUGUCAGCCGCCGCGGUAAGACAGAGGGUGCAAACGUUGUUCGGAAUUACUGGGCGUAAAGCGCGUGUAGGCGGUCAUGCAAGUCGGGUGUGAAAGCCCGGGGCUCAACCCCGGAAGUGCAUUCGAUACUGCGUGGCUAGAGUACUGGAGAGGAUGGUGGAACUCUCGGUGUAGAGGUGAAAUUCGUAGAUAUCGAGAAGAACACCGGUGGCGAAGGCGGCCAUCUGGACAGAUACUGACGCUGAGACGCGAAAGCGUGGGGAGCAAACAGGAUUAGAUACCCUGGUAGUCCACGCCGUAAACGAUGGGUGCUAGGUGUCACGGGUAUUGACCCCUGUGGUGCCGAAGCUAACGCAUUAAGCACCCCGCCUGGGAAGUACGGCCGCAAGGCUAAA
rnacentral:rRNA from 1 species